GGUUGAUUGAUUUCUGGGUUUUAUUGUUCUUAGUCUAAUCAAGAGACCCGUCGACUGCUCGUGCUUCGGAGUCUACGCAGGGUUAGCUGUUUGCCAAGAUUUACGUGGAUAAGCAAGCAGUUUAUGAUUUGAAAGCUGGUCCACUCCGAUUCUUUUGAUUCUUCGGAGGUUUUUAUGUUAUUUAACUAGUUACUGUUUUCGAACUCUUAGACCGCAGUAGAACUAGUUUAUUUAUUACAUCUGAUAUUACA